rfam:Felis catus isolate Cinnamon breed Abyssinian chromosome D3, whole genome shotgun sequence.
GCCUGGGUGGCUCAGUCGGUUGAGCGUCGGACUUCAGCUCAGGUGACGAUCUCGUGGUUUGUGAGUUCGAGCCUCGCAUCCGGCU